AAUUCUAAUCAAAAAUCAAUGUUAACUGUGAUUACUUUUACUAUUAUUCUAAGUCUUUGACAUCCAGUCAAUAAGGAAAUCAAAUGUUUUCGAGCCUGUAACGUUUAAAAAAGAAAGUCAAACCUUUUGUUUAAUUGUUUCUUGGAUCUCUGUUGUUAUCCAAGAAAAUGUAACCGUUUUUUUUUGGAGCGUUGUCUGCGUUGCCGAAAUUUUUUAAAGGGUUUUUGUUCAAACAAUAAAUUUUGCUCAAACAAACUGUAUUGUUCAAACAAUUUUAUUUGUUUAUGAACAAUUUUGGACGAGAAAAUUGUUUGGCAAAUUGUUCAAAUAAUUCUCAAUUAAUCGAGCAAACAAACAAAAAUUGGCAAUUGUUUUUGUUUGUUUGAGCAAGAAAAUCUUUGCUCGCGCACAUCUCUGGUGAAAGGUAGUUUAUUUUACACUAGUUCUUUGUUUUCAGUGGAAAAGUUGUCGUUUAAAGUAGUUUAAAGUAUCGAGUAGUCUGAAGAUUUGAAAUUAAUAGAAUGGGUGUCAGAAGGUGCAAAGUGUCUAACUGUCGCAACACAAAAAGUGGAAGUGUAAAAGUAUUUAGUUUAUUGAAGGCGGGCCAACGACGAGACCUGUGAUUGAAGAGAAUGGCGAUAAAUUAUGGCAACGGUAGCGUGGAAAACCUGUUUGUGUGUUCACUUCAUUUUGUAGCAGCGACAAACCGAGACCGACCUCCCGCGCCAGUGACAAACGGACUCCCAGGACUGUCAGCGACAAGUGGACUCCUGUUCAAGUAACAAAUGGAGACUCCCGGUUCAGCAAAAAAUGCUCCCAGGCAAACGACGAAUGGUUCGCGUUUUCUAGUACCUCCUAGCGCAUCUUGAGAAAAUUAUCAAAUUGGUGUCAUGUUUGAUCUAUAUAGGUAUGCUAUUCAGCCAAUAGCUAUUCACCGGGGCAAGUUAUCAUGUUCAAGUUUUUCAGUGAAGUCGUUCUAUCGGCUUGAUGGCUAACCUUUUUUUAUUACUGAUGUCAUCAUUUGUACACAAUUUAGUCCAUUAUUUACAGUUUUGAUUGUCUGCAAAUGGUUGUUGCAGUGGCAUACGUAAAAUGUGCUAUUCAGUUAACUAUUACAAUUUAGCUUACAACAUCCAUAAGAAGUGCACUCGUUUUUACAGCAACAAAACCGCAUUACCUUGAAAUUUACACGACUGAAGUAACUUCUACUUACGUUCAGUCACUUUUGAAGGCUGUUGCCACUGUUAUGAGAGAAAGACAAGAAGAUCCAUUGGACGAUAUACGGCUAGUACAACAACUGCUUAAGAAAACCUACGGCCUUAAUAGAAUAGAUUGUGCCAAAACAUGUUCUUUAUACUUAUAACCCUCUUCAAACAGUUCGCACAGCCAUUUCAAUAACUUGUCCAAUCAUUUAUUGCUAUCCUGUGAAUUUGGCUAUACAAGAAGGUUUGUCAUGUUUAAAACAUGAACUGUUUUGUUAUGUGCUGUAAAUUUUAUACAAGCCUGUAAACGUUACUAGUGUACAUAAUUUACACCUCAAUUAAAGGUCGAUUUUUUCAAAUUCGA
rnacentral:lncRNA from 1 species